rnacentral:rRNA from 1 species
CCUACGGGAGGCAGCAGUGGGGAAUAUUGCACAAUGGGCGAAAGCCUGAUGCAGCCACGCCGCGUGAGCGAUGAAGGCCUUCGGGUUGUAAAGCUCUGUCAUCAGGGAAGAUAAUGACGGUACUUAAGGAGUAAGCCCCGGCUAACUACGGGCCAGCAGCCGAGGUAAUACGUAGGGGGCUAGCGUUAUCCGGAAUUACUGGGUGGAAAGGGAGCGGAGGGGGUUUCUUAAGUCGAGGGUAAAAGGUCCCGGGUAAACCGGAAUAAGCGUUUGAAACUUGGGAUUUUGAGUGGAGUAGAGGAGGGUGGAAUUCCUAGUGUAGCGGUGAAAUGCGUAGAUAUUAGGAGGAACACCAGUGGCGAAGGCGGCCCUCUGGACUGUAACUGACGCUGAGGCGCGAAAGCGUGGGGAGCAAACAGGAUUAGAUACCCUAGUAGUC